GUGCUGGCUUCAGCAGCACAUAUACUAAAAUUGGAAUGAUACAGAGAAGAUUAGCAUAGCCCCUGAGCAAGAAUGACAUGCAAAUUAGUGAAGUGUUCCAUAUUAAA
rnacentral:snRNA from 1 species